CGGCGGCCCGAGUGGUAACCGUUUUUAUUGGGUCUAAAGGGUCCGUAGCCGGUCUGAUAAGUCUCUUGGGAAAUCUGGCAGCUUAACUGUCAGGCUUCUAAGAGAUACUGUCAGGCUUGGGACCGGGAGAGGUAAGGGGUACUCCAAGGGUAGGAGUGAAAUCUUGUAAUCCUUGGGGGACCAUCUGUGGCGAAGGCGCCUUACCAGAACGGGUCCGACGGUGAGGGACGAAAGCUAGGGGAGCAAACCGGAUUAGAUACCCGAGUAGUCC
rnacentral:rRNA from 1 species